UAAGAAGAAAAAAUCUUUGUAAGUUAUCCAGCACAAUGUACAAGUACAAUAGAUUGCGGAGUACCUUCUUCACACAUAUACAAAUACUCACUGAUGAACCUCUAUUAUUUGAGGAAGGGAUUCAUAUCAAGGGCCAUAUAAUUUGAAAUCUCUAUAUUCUCUUCUACGCUCAAACCAAUAUUUAUUUUUCCUUUGCUUAAUGUGCC
rnacentral:lncRNA from 7 species